AUACUUACCUGGCAGGGGAGAAACCAUGAUCAAGAAGGUGGUUCAUCCAGGGCAAGGCUCGGCCAUUGCACUCCGACCGUGCUGACCCUUGCGAAUUCCCCAAAUGUAGGAAUCUCGACUGCAUAAUUUAUGGUAGUGGGGGACUGCGUUCGUUCUCUCCUU
rnacentral:snRNA from 1 species